rnacentral:rRNA from 1 species
UACGAAGGGGGGCUAGCGUUGUUCGGAAUCACUGGGCGUAAAGGGCGCGUAGGCGGCUUUAUAAGUCGGGGGUGAAAGCCUGUGGCUCAACCACAGAAUUGCCUUCGAUACUGUAGAGCUUGAGACCGGAAGAGGUAAGUGGAACUGCGAGUGUAGAGGUGAAAAUUCGUAGAUAUUCGCAAGAACACCAGUGGCGAAGGCGGCUUACUGGUCCGGUUCUGACGCUGAGGCGCGAAAGCGUGGGGAGCAAACAGG